rnacentral:tRNA from 1 species
CCCUGUGUGGCUCAGUUGGUAGAGCAUGGUGCUUGCAAUGCCAGGGCUGUGGGUUCCAUUCUCAUUGGGGGAA